UGGUAUCCUGUCUGAAUAUGGGGGGACCAUCCUCCAAGGCUAAAUACUCCUGACUGACCGAUAGUGAACCAGUACCGUGAGGGAAAGGCGAAAAGAACCCCGGCGAGGGGAGUGAAAAAGAACCUGAAACCGUGUACGUACAAGCAGUGGGAGCACGCUUAGGCGUGUGACUGCGUACCUUUUGUAUAAUGGGUCAGCGACUUAUAUUCUGUAGCAAGGUUAACCGAAUAGGGGAGCCGAAGGGAAACCGAGUCUUAACUGGGCGUUAAGUUGCAGGGUAUAGACCCGAAACCCGGUGAUCUAGCCAUGGGCAGGUUGAAGGUUGGGUAACACUAACUGGAGGACCGAACCGACUAAUGUUGAAAAAUUAGCGGAUGACUUGUGGCUGGGGGUGAAAGGCCAAUCAAACCGGGAGAUAGCUGGUUCUCCCCGAAAGCUAUUUAGGUAGCGCCUCGUGAAUUCAUCUCCGGGGGUAGAGCACUGUUUCGGCAAGGGGGUCAUCCCGA
rnacentral:rRNA from 1 species